rnacentral:rRNA from 1 species
UGAGGAAUAUUGGUCAAUGGGCGCGAGCCUGAACCAGCCAAGUAGCGUGAGGGAUGACUGCCCUAUGGGUUGUAAACCUCUUUUGAUUGGGAACAAAGAGCGCCACGUGUGGUGCGUUGCGUGUACCUUUCGAAUAAGCAUCGGCUAAUUCCGUGCCAGCAGCCGCGGUAAUACGGAAGAUGCGAGCGUUAUCCGGAUUUAUUGGGUUUAAAGGGAGCGUAGGCGGGCUGUUAAGUCAGCGGUCAAAUGUCAGGGCCCAACCUUGGCAUGCCGUUGAAACUGCGAGACUGGAGUGCGACAGAGGAAGGCGGAAUGCGAGGUGUAGCGGUGAAAUGCAUAGAUAUCGCGCAGAACUCCGAUUGCGAAGGCAGCCUUCCAUGUCGUGACUGACGCUGAGGCAC